UGCCAGACUCCUACGGGAGGCAGCAGUGGGGGAUAUUGCACAAUGGGGGAAACCCUGAUGCAGCGACGCCGCGUGGGUGAAGGAGUGCUUCGGCAUGUAAAGCCCUAUCGGCAGGGAAGAAGCAAGACGGUACCUGACUAAGAGGCCCCGGCUAACUACGUGCCAGCAGCCGCGGGAAUACGUAGGGGGCGAGCGUUAUCCGGAUUCACUGGGUGUAAAGGGAGCGUAGACGGCCAUGCAAGCCAGGGGUGAAAGCCCGGGGCCCAACCCCGGGACUGCCCUUGGAACUGCAUGGCUGGAGUGCGGGAGGGGCAGGCGGAAUUCCUGGUGUAGCGGUGAAAUGCGUAGAUAUCAGGAGGAACACCGGCGGCGAAGGCGGCCUGCUGGACCGCGACUGACGUUGAGGCUCGAAAGCGUGGGGAGCGAACAGGAUUAGAUACCCUAGUA
rnacentral:rRNA from 1 species